GGAAACAGGGCUAUUGGACAUGAAGCUCUUAUCUUCAUGGGUUGUAGGCAAUCUACCACGGUCCAAGUUCCUGUUACAACCUUUGCCAUCCCAAGGGUUCUCAUGAAUUUUGCCUUCACACUUUUGUGUAAUAGAACAGAUUCAGAGAGUUCAAAUCAAGUGUCCGAUGUCAGAGUUGGCAGGAUCCAGGACGAAGACUGACUCCCAAGGGCUGGGUUCUGGACCACCAGGUCGGCUCUGUGCUAAACGGAGAUUCCACAUCUUCAGUGGCGCACGGUAACAUGUGUGGGUCCUAGAAGACAUGGCCACAGCGCAGCAGGAUUCGAGGAAGCCACGCUGAUGGACGCGCAGGCUCACUCCUGGAUUGUGAUGACUAGCAGCUCCAGCGGCGGGUGGAAAAUGGAUUCCAGGAGCCGUUCUAACGAGUGGAGUGGAAGACUGCUGAGCUCUGUGGCUGGUGGAGCCGUGACCUUUCCCUGGGAAUGUAAGGGAGCACAGGCCACUUUGCAGGAAUAGAAUCUGCCCUAGGGACCAGAGAGAGGACUCUCUUCCCCAGUGGCUAAGAAUGGAGCCGUCAAACCCCACACCAAAGCUCCUCCUGUUUUCUAGGACUUCUCCCGCUGACCUUGGUGCUGUAUCUCAGGGUAAAACCUUAGGUCUGCCUCACCCCUAGGUCUGCCUCAACCCUCCACACAGCAGGAGCUCUCUGGGGAAAUGAAUGCUCGAGGAUCCCUUUACCCAUUUGCCCGCUGUGUAAGCUCCCCUCCAGCUGUGCCGGGCUCCACUUCCUCCUCGGGCCAGGUAGCCCCGGAGUUCACUGUCUCUCUUUUUAUUUGUGUCUCCUGCUGCCUGUCACGUGAGAGGCCUUUUGAAUGCCCGAGGCUCCCCAGGGGUUGGAGAGGGCAGAACUGAAGGAUGACCUAAGGUGAGAAAGAAAGGCAGAUUUGUAAAUAAACAAGGGCAGAGUUGGAAGACCCGGGGCCUCUGUGGCUUCUGCUGAGGGGAGCUCCU